rnacentral:rRNA from 1 species
GACGAACGCUGGCGGCGUGCUUAACACAUGCAAGUCGAGCGGUAAGGCCCUUUCGGGGGUACACGAGCGGCGAACGGGUGAGUAACACGUGGGUGACCUGCCCUUAGCUCUGGGAUAAGCCUGGGAAACUGGGUCUAAUACCGGAUAUGACUCCAUGACGCAUGUUGUGGGGUGGAAAGCCUUGUGCGGCUAGGGGAUGGGCCCGCGGCCUAUCAGCUUGGUUGGUGGGGUGAUGGCCUACCAAGGCGACGACGGGUAGCCGGCCUGAGAGGGCGACCGGCCACACUGGGACUGAGACACGGCCCAGACUCCUACGGGAGGCAGCAGUGGGGAAUCUUGCGCAAUGGGCGAAAGCCUGACGCAGCGACGCCGCGUGAGGGAUGACGGCCUUC